rnacentral:rRNA from 1 species
UAUUGGCUUACCGUGGCAGUGACGGUUAACGGGGAAUUAGGGUUCAAUUCCGGAGAGGGAGCCUGAGAAACGGCUACCACAUCUAAGGAAGGCAGCAGGCGCGCAAAUUACCCAAUUCUAAUAGCAUAAGAGAGGUAGUGACAAGAAAUAACAGUACAAGGCAGUUUAAAUGCUUUGUAAUUGGAAUGAUAGAAAUUUAAAUACUUUUUAAAGUAUCAAUUGGAGGGCAAGUCUGGUGCCAGCAGCCGCGGUAAUUCCAGCUCCAAUAGCGUAUAUUAAAAUUGUUGCAGUUAAAAAGCUCGUAGUUGAAUUUUUGCUAAAAAUAACCGGUCUGCUUUUAUUAAUAAAGGUGGCAUCUUGGUGUGUUUUUAGCAAUAAUGUCCUUUGAAAUGUUUUUUACUUUAUUGUAAAAGACAAUUUUCAGGAUUUUUACUUUGAGAAAAUUAGAGUGUUUCAAGCAGGCUAACGUUUUGAAUACUGCAGCAUGGAAUAAUAAAAUAGGAUUUUAGUUCUACGUUAAUGGUUUUAAGAGCUAAAUUAAUGAUUGAUAGGAGCAGUUGGGGGCAUUUGUAUUUAACU